rnacentral:rRNA from 1 species
GACGAGGGGUCCAAGCGUUGUUCGGAAUCAUUGGGCGUAAAGCGGGUGUAGGUGGCUCUAUAAGUCAGGAGUGAAAUCCCCGAGCUUAACUUGGGAAGUGCUUUUGAUACUGCAGAGCUUGAAUGUGGGAGAGGGUAGUGGAAUUCCAGGUGUAGUGGUGAAAUACGUAGAUAUCUGGAGGAACACCGGUGGCGAAGGCGGCUACCUGGCCCAACAUUGACACUGAGACCCGAAAGCGUGGGGAUCAAACAGG